AACGAACGCUGGCGGCAUGCCUAACACAUGCAAGUCGAACGAGACCUUCGGGUCUAGUUGCGCACGGGUGCGUAACGCGUGGGAACCUGCCCUUAGGUUCGGAAUAACUCCCCGAAAGGGGUGCUAAUACCGGAUAAUGUCUUCGGACCAAAGAUUUAUCGCCUUUGGAUGGGCCCGCGUUGGAUUAGCUAGUUGGUAGGGUAAAAGCCUACCAAGGCGACGAUCCAUAGCUGGUCUGAGAGGAUGAUCAGCCACACUGGGACUGAGACACGGCCCAGACUCCUACGGGAGGCAGCAGUGGGGAAUAUUGGACAAUGGGCGAAAGCCUGAUCCAGCAAUGCCGCGUGAGUGAUGAAGGCCUUAGGGUUGUAAAGCUCUUUUACCCGGGAUGAUAAUGACAGUACCGGGAGAAUAAGCACCGGCUAACUCCGUG
rnacentral:rRNA from 1 species